CCAUGCUGCCAAGAAAAACUUCGUAGUGAGUGUUAGAGCCGCCCGUACCCCAAACCGACACAGGUGAUCAGGUAGAGAAUACCAAGGCGAUCGAGUGAACCAUGGUUAAGGAACUCGGCAAAAUGCCCCCGUAACUUCGGGAGAAGGGGGGCCGGAUGCGUUACCUCACUUGCUGGGGGAAGCGUUGAUGGCCGCAGAGACCAGGCCCAAGCGACUGUUUACUAAAAACACAGGUCCGUGCGAAGAAGUAAUUCGAUGUAUACGGACUGACGCCUGCCCGGUGCUGGAACGUUAAGGGGACAGGUUAGCUGGUUUAGGCCGGCGAAGCUUUGAACUUAAGCGCCAGUAAACGGCGGUGGUAACUAUAACCAUCCUAAGGUAGCGAAAUUCCUUGUCGGGUAAGUUCCGACCUGCACGAAUGGCGUAACGACUUGGGCGCUGUCUCAACCAUGGACUCGGCGAAAUUGCAUUACGAGUAAAGAUGCUCGUUACGCGCAGCAGGACGGAAAGACCCCGGGACCUUUACUACAACUUGGUAUUGGUGGUCGGUACAACUUGUGUAGGAUAGGUGGGAGACUGUGAAAUCCGGACGCCAGUUCGGGUGGAGUCAUCGUUGAAAUACCACUCUGGUUGUUCUGGCUGUCUAACUUCGGUCCAUUAUCUGGAUCAGGGACAGUGCCUGGUGGGUAGUUUGACUGGGGCGGUCGCCUCCUAAAAGGUAACGGAGGCGCUCAAAGGUUCCCUCAGCCUGGUUGGCAAUCAGGUGUCGAGUGUAAGUGCACAAGGGAGCUUGACUGUGAGACAGACAUGUCGAGCAGGGACGAAAGUCGGAACUAGUGAUCCGGCGGUGGCAUGUGGGAGCACCGUCGCUCAACGGAUAAAGGUACCCCGGGGAUAACAGGCUGAUCUUCCCCAAGAGUCCAUAUCGACGGGAUGGUUUGGCACCUCGAUGUCGGCUCGUCGCAUCCUGGGGCUGGAGUAGGUCCCAAGGGUUGGGCUGUUCGCCCAUUAAAGCGGCACGCGAGCUGGGUUUAGAACGUCGUGAGACAGUUCGGUCCCUAUCCGCUGCGCGCGCAGGAGACUUGAGAAGGGCUGCCCCUAGUACGAGAGGACCGGGGUGGACGAACCUCUGGUGUGCCAGUUGUUCCGCCAGGAGCACGGCUGGUUGGCUACGUUCGGGAGUGAUAACCGCUGAAAGCAUCUAAGCGGGAAGCACGCUUCAAGAUGAGGUCUCCCACCGAGUUAAUCGGGUAAGGCCCCCAGUAGACCACUGGGUUGAUAGGCCAGAGGUGGAAGCGCCGUAAGGUGUGGAGCUGACUGGUACUAAUAGGCCGAGGGCUUGUCUC
rnacentral:rRNA from 1 species